UACGUAGGGGCAAGCGUUAUCCGGAUUUACUGGGUGUAAAGGGAGCGCAGACGGAACUGCAAGUCUGAUGUGAAAGCCCGGGGCUCAACCGCGGGACUGCAUCGGAUACUGUAGAUCUGGAGUGCCGGAGGGGCAAGCGGAAUUCCUGGUGUAGCGGUGAAAUGCGUAGAUAUCAGGAGGAACACCGGCGGCGAAGGCGGCUUGCUGGACGGCAACUGACGUUGAGGCUCGAAAGCGUGGGGAGCAAACAGGAUUAGAUACCCGCGUA
rnacentral:rRNA from 1 species